UACGAAGGGGGCUAGCGUUGCUCGGAAUCACUGGGCGUAAAGGGUGCGUAGGCGGGUCUUUAAGUCAGGGGUGAAAUCCUGGAGCUCAACUCCAGAACUGCCUUUGAUACUGAAGAUCUUGAGUUCGGGAGAGGUGAGUGGAACUGCGAGUGUAGAGGUGAAAUUCGUAGAUAUUGGGAGGAACACCAGUGGCGAAGGCGACUCACUGGACACAUAUUGACGCUGAGGUGCGAAAGCGUGGGGAGCAAACAGG
rnacentral:rRNA from 1 species